UUUCCGUAGGUGAACCUGCGGAAGGAUCAUUACAGAGUUCAUGCCCUCACGGGUAGAUCUCCCACCCUUGAAUAUUUAUACCUUAGUUGCUUUGGCAGGCCGUGGAAACACCAUGGGCUCCGGCUUAUGCGUGCCUGCCAGAGGAAACAAACUCUGUUUUUAGUGACGUCUGAGUACUAUAUAAUAGUUAAAACUUUCAACAACGGGUCUCUUGGUUCUG
rnacentral:misc_RNA from 1 species